rnacentral:rRNA from 1 species
CCUACGGGCGGCACCAGUGGGGAAUAUUGGACAAUGGGCGUAAGCCUGAUCCAGCAAUGCCGCGUGUGUGAAGAAGGUCUUCGGAUUGUAAAGCACUUUCGACGGGGACGAUGAUGACGGUACCCGUAGAAGAAGCCCCGGCUAACUUCGUGCCAGCAGCCGCGGUAAUACGAAGGGGGCUAGCGUUGCUCGGAAUGACUGGGCGUAAAGGGCGCGUAGGCGGUUUAUGCAGUCAGAUGUGAAAUCCCCGGGCUUAACCUGGGAACUGCAUUUGAGACGCAUAGACUAGAGGUCGAGAGAGGGUUGUGGAAUUCCCAGUGUAGAGGUGAAAUUCGUAGAUAUUGGGGAGAACACCGGUGGCGAAGGCGGCAACCUGGCUUGAUACUGACGCUGAGGCGCGAAAGCGUGGGGAGCAAACGGGAUUAGAUACCCGGGUAGUC